rnacentral:rRNA from 1 species
AUACGUAGGGAGCAAGCGUUAAUCGGAAUUACUGGGCGUAAAGCGCUCGUAGGCGGCUUGUUAAGUCGGAUGUGAAAGCCCCGGGCUCAACCUGGGAACUGCAUUCGAUACUGGCAGGCUAGAGUAUAGUAGAGGCAAGUGGAAUUCCGGGUGUAGCGGUGAAAUGCGUAGAUAUCCGGAGGAACAUCAGUGGCGAAGGCGACUUGCUGGACUAAUACUGACGCUGAGGAGCGAAAGCGUGGGGAGCAAACGGGAUUAGAAACCCCAGUAGUCC